UACGUAGGGUGCAAGCGUUGUCCGGAAUUAUUGGGCGUAAAGAGCUCGUAGGCGGUCUGUCGCGUCUGCUGUGAAAACUCAGGGCUUAACCCUGAGCUUGCAGUGGGUACGGGCAGACUAGAGUGCGGUAGGGGAGACUGGAAUUCCUGGUGUAGCGGUGAAAUGCGCAGAUACCAGGAGGAACACCGGUGGCGAAGGCGGGUCUCUGGGCCGUAACUGACGCUGAGGAGCGAAAGCAUGGGGAGCGAACAGG
rnacentral:rRNA from 1 species